AGAAUAAUAGAUAAAGAUCACAGUAAAAACAUUAGAAAGAUCACAGUUUUGAUGAAAACGUGAUAAAGAGAUGUGAGGUGAAUUUUUAAUGUCACUUUGCUAAUAAAACCAUGAUAAUUAAUAUUUAUUAUCACAGUUUUAAUAGAACCGUGAUUAUAACUUUUUAAUUUAACCACAUUUUGCUACAAGCGUAAUAAAAAUGUGUAUUUAACCACAUUUUUCUAUAAGCAUGAUAAAAUGUGUCUAUUGAAAUCACGGUUCGUUACAACCAUGAUAGAACAGUGUCUAUUUUAAAUCACACUUUCUUAUAAGCAUGAUAAAAUGGGUCUAUUUGAACCACACUUCGUUGCAACCGUGAUGAAAUUUUUCUUGUUUGAUAUAACUACAUUUUUUAAAAGCUUGAUUAAAUGUAUUUGCUUAUUUUAAUACACUUUGAUUACAAGCGUGAUAAAUACUUCAUGGGCGCCAACAAGAAACCAAAUUUGAAUCCAUGAAAAUUUGAAAUUAUUAGGGUUUUACUUUCCCCCCAAAAUAGUCAGUCGCCUCUUUUUUAGGUAAAUAUAUAUGGUUGCCCUCUUUCUUCUUGGCCUCCAUACCAUAGAUCUUACACCCCUCUCUCUCAACUUUCAGGAAAACUGAUGUCGCUCAUGGCGUAAUUCCAAGCACAACCCUUCGACCUCCAAUCGGGCACAACCAUAGGCUGAUCUCCACCCGAUCAUCGCGUAAGAGGUGGAGACCUUAAUUAACUAAGCAUGUACGUAGAAGGAUGGAGGAGUACGUACCUACACUUGUGACUUGCCAUGCGAUGCAAACUUUCUGGGUUGAAGAAGAAGUUGCUUGAGUUGUUAUAAUUUUUUUUUUAAAUUAUGUUCUUAUAGCUUUUUAGUUUUGUUUUAGACCCGAGUUAUUGUACUAGUUGAUAUAUAUUGUAAAUGUACCAUACUUUGAAAGAUUGAUGAGUUAAUCAAUAAAUCUUUUCCUUUUUGUAUA